UAGAGUUUGAUCCUGGCUCAGGAUGAACGCUGGCGGCGUGCCUAAUACAUGCAAGUCGAGCGAACAGAUAAGGAGCUUGCUCCUUUGAAGUUAGCGGCGGACGGGUGAGUAACACGUGGGUAACCUACCUAUAAGACUGGGAUAACUUCGGGAAACCGGAGCUAAUACCGGAUAACAUUUAGAACCGCAUGGUUCUAAAGUGAAAGAUGGUUUUGCUAUCACUUAUAGAUGGACCCGCGCCGUAUUAGCUAGUUGGUAAGGUAACGGCUUACCAAGGCGACGAUACGUAGCCGACCUGAGAGGGUGAUCGGCCACACUGGAACUGAGACACGGUCCAGACUCCUACGGGAAGCAGCAGUAGGGAAUCUUCCGCAAUGGGCGAAAGCCUGACGGAGCAACGCCGCGUGAGUGAUGAAGGGUUUCGGCUCGUAAAACUCUGUUAUUAGGGAAGAACAAAUGUGUAAGUAACUGUGCACAUCUUGACGGUACCUAAUCAGAAAGCCACGGCUAACUACGUG
rnacentral:rRNA from 1 species